UCAUGUUGAAACACCAGUUCUCUUACAAUCCCCAAAGUUAAGCAACAUUAAGUCUGGUCAGUACCUAGAUGGGUGAUCAUUUGGGAAUACCAGGUUCUGCAUG